GACAACAAUGGGCUAUUUGUUGAAAGGAUGGCGAAAAGUUGUGUGUUUCUAGGCUAGAGAUUAGUUGCACGGAGGAAGCAACGCGCAGUUUCUUAACGGCAUAGCCAUUUAGAGUGGCGACACGCAUCUCUGGGUGCCUGGCAAAUAUCUCAGCUUGGAUGUUGGCCCACCACCUCAAGCUCAACCUUGACAAGAUGCUCUUCCUCCCAGUAUCAGCUUGUGAGCCAGCCAACCAAGUGAACGUGAUCACCACGGAGGAGGCAGUUGAGGAGGGGCCGUGAUCACUGUGGAGGAGGGUCCUGAUCCCAAUCAGGGCAGGUAAGCCAGAAAGCUGAGUCCUUAGCAGAAAUAACACUGGGACUCCGUCAAUCUGCGACAGCAGUAAGCAUUAAUUCACAUAGACAGCAUUGCGGAUGCCAGCGUAAUUGUCAGGAAAAGCUAUUAUAAAGAGUUGUAUUCUCUUUUGAAAUUGGAGUUAGUAAGUUAAGAAAAUUAUAACAAUUUCUUGGUAACAUUUCCUGUCCACCAAUAGCCCACUCAAUCUCUACAACAGAUGUGCUUCCUUUGAACUACUUCGUUUGAACUCAAAUCGUCUGUAAGCAACAACGGUGAUAAGGUCAAGAAAAUUACAUUGACAAUGUGAUAUCAUUCCAAAACACAGUCCAGUCUCUAAAUGUAGAA